CCUUAGAGUUUGAUCCUGGCUCAGGACCUUUCUGGCGGCGUGCCUAACACAUGCAAGUCGAACGGAGUUCUUAAGGAGUGCGACUUCGGUCAAAUGACUUUUGAACUUAGUGGCGGACGGGUGAGUAACGCGUGAGCAACCUGCCUUUCAGAGGGGGAUAACAUUUGGAAACAGAUGCUAAUACCGCAUAAGAUUACAGUACCGCAUGAUACAGUGAUCAAAGGAGCAAUCCGCUGAAAGAUGGGCUCGCGUCCGAUUAGAUAGUUGGUGAGGUAACGGCUCACCAAGUCGACGAUCGGUAGCCGGACUGAGAGGUUGAACGGCCACAUUGGGACUGAGACACGGCCCAGACUCCUACGGGAGGCAGCAGUGGGGAAUAUUGCACAAUGGACGAAAGCCUGAUGCAGCAACGCCGCGUGAGGGAAGACGGUUUUCGGAUUGUAAACCUCUGUUUUCGGUGACGAAUAAAUGACGGUAACCGAGUAGGAAGCCACGGCUAACUACGUGCCAGCAGCCGCGGUAAUACGUAGGUGGCAAGCGUUAUCCGGAAUUACUGGGUGUAAAGGGAGCGCAGGCGGGAUAGCAAGUCAGCUGUGAAAACUAUGGGCUCAACCCAUAAACUGCAGUUGAAACUGUUAUUCUUGAGUGGAGUAGAGGCAAGCGGAAUUCCGAGUGUAGCGGUGAAAUGCGUAGAUAUUCGGAGGAACACCAGUGGCGAAGGCGGCUUGCUGGGCUCUAACUGACGCUGAGGCUCGAAAGUGUGGGGAGCAAACAGGAUUAGAUACCCUGGUAGUCCACACUGUAAACGAUGAUUGCUA
rnacentral:rRNA from 1 species